UUCCUCCACUACUCCAAACCCAGCUGUUUUAAGGAGAAGAUGAUUAGAAAUAAGACUGAGGUCUCUCUGUCCUCAAUGACUACCAAAGGCCAAAUAUACCAGUCCCUACUAGUCUGAGUAAGCCUGAUGCUUUUAUUUUGGAGUGGAUCAAUUCAUACUUACUGACUGAUAAGCACCUACUGCGUGUGAUGGUUUCACUUGGACCUUUCUGUGUCACUGUCUCAGAGAGCCAGCAUAAAAGCUAGCACUCUGGCGCUUGAUGCUAUUGCUCACAGAACUACAAAGACAUCUCAGAGUGUGCCCUUCACUGGCACACACCAUGAUGGUUUUUCUCCUCAAGCACCUGCACACGUGGGAUGUACAA